CUGGAAGAGAUGCAUUGAUUAAUCAAGAGGUUGAAGAAAGGAGCGGCUAGAAGUGGCGCAAACAGACCGAGGAUAGCCUAGUCUUAUCCGCACGGAUUAUCGCACUACUACUUCUGCCGACUGAAGGUUUUGUUUGCUAAUCGCGAUGAUAAGAGGUGCAGAUAGGUAUAUUUUAUACGAACUCAAGGAACAUUCCACCUUCCUUUGUCCUAGUGGGCUCGUGUAGUUGUCUUAUACAGGGCAAAGUGCUUGGAGAACGAACAUAGAAUCAAGGUGUUCGUGAGAAAUCCUGAGGAAACAGGUAGAGCCCAAUUCUCUACUUGCUUUCAUACGCCGGUAAGGCACUGGCAAUUGAAGCUUCCAUGUCACAACAUGACCAGUGUGGUGGGUGGAUUGAUGACCCGGGAGGUUGGAACAGAGAGUUGUCUAAUCGAAAUUGCACCUUAUCCACAAACGGAGCAUCUAGAUGGUGCUGGGUUCAGCUACAAUGGUGGAAACUACGCCAGGUUCUCACAGAUGGAAUGCACAAAAGUGCCUUAAACUACUAUUAUAUGGUCCUCUAGAUUCCCGCCCCAAAAUGGCAUGCCCCAAGUACUUUUAUACCUGCAAUGAAAUCGGCACCCUACUUUGGAAGAUCA